ensembl:lncRNA
AGGAGGACGACAGCCUUCUACCAACUCUUUGGCAAGACUCAUGCAGAAGUGUAUUAGCUCCCCCACCAUCUUUUACAUUGUUCCCACAGCUGAAACAAGGAGUGUUUCAACAGUGAUUGUGUCAGUUUUCUUCUCUGCCUCAGAGGAUGUGUCCAUGAGAAGCUGUGUUUGAUGGGAUGGGAGAGCAGUGUGACACUGUACAAGAAUUAGACUGGAUGAAUCAGUGAAGACAGAUGACAUGAGUAUGUCGCUGACCCCCCAGCAUGGUGGAGCCAUGAGUGCUUGUGCCAGCUAUUUCUAGAUUAUGACUUACUGUUACUAUAGAGCAUUUUCAGCAUCAGCUGUAUGAAAAAAUUCAAUUUAUCAAACUUACUUUGAACACAAGCUGAAUGCAGAAUUUAACCCAAUUUAUGGAUGGCUCAAGGGUUGCCCAAGGCUACUUGCUGAGCUGAGUGCAGAGGAAGAAGAGGUUUCCCCCAUCCCAGGAGAUCAGUGUUUGCUGUAACAGUACUUGGCACCUCCCCGAAAGCUGCAGUGGUAUCACUGCCUACAUGAGAAUCCCGACAAAAAGAAGGUGGUUCUCUGGGGACUGACAAAUAAUGGAUCCAAUAUGUGGAUGCAAUCAACACUGACAUUAUGAGAGUUAAUAAUGCUCAUUAUCCUCCGGCUGUGUGCUCCCCAUGGCAAGAGAAAGGAUGUUAAUUUAACGUGUUUUUUAAUUAACUAACACUCUAAGUAUCCACAAGCCUCUAACUCAUGUUAUAGAAAUGAAAACAGAACCUCGAGGAAAGCUGCUUGUGUUGAAAAAGCCUCAAAAUUAUGUUAUCAGCCAAGCAACCAUGAAGUCUCUUCAUCUUUGAGAAUUUGCCUUUGGGAGUAUAAGAUCAUUUUAAUUUCACUUGUUUUUUUUAGUCUCCCAAGGUGGCAAAACAUAGAAACUACAAAAUGUCAUUUACCAGCGUUUUCUUGCUGAAAUACUUGCAGAGAUUUGAGGCCUCGCUUAUGACCAGUAAAGAACAAAGUGGAGCUCAGAAAUGAUCCAUUGGUACAGGACAGUUGGCAUAAAACAGCAAAAGAAAACUGAUCCUACUGGAUUUGAAAGCAGAUGAAAGGCUUCUCAACAUCUGUAGCUAAAAUGGAAGCAUGAGGGUCUGUCUGGAUGAGAUCUCCCCUGAGCUGCUGAUCCUUUCACUGAAGAAAGGCACAAUUCUGCUAAUCUCUGGAUCAUGCUAGACACCACUUGCAAAUACUUAUCACUCCUGAUCCAUUCAUUGAUAAAUUCCUCAUGGACAUCACGGAAGAGAUCUGUCCCUUGGCAAGUACAAGCACUUUAUUUACACUGGCUCCUGAUACAACUAAGUACCACGGGUGGGUUGUAGUGUUUCUGUGAAAGGUGACGUCUCAGUAGCCGUGCUUUGCAGCCACAGGACCGAUAGAAAAUACGUUAUAUGCGUUGAACCAGAUGAUAUAAUACAUUAGACUGGAACUGGCAACGAAGCUGAAAUCCAAUUGAGAUCAGUUCUUUUUGUAUGUUGUUCCUGUUUAAGGGCUUUACGACGCUGCCAAUCAACUCUAAUUGCUCUGAACAGUCUGCAUUAAGUGUGAUUACCCCGUUGAAUUCCCACUGUUGUUGGGGUCUUUAUUUUAGCAAAAAGUCUAAGCACUUAUCAGAUCUUCCUAACAAAACACUUCAGCCGCAGCCCAAUACCUUAACCCUGCUGUGCUAUUGUCUACUUUCAACUACAUCCUGCGUCUAACUAUGCUGGCUUUGAUGGAUCUAUGUAAGUAUGGACUGAAAAGCCUCAGCGAAACCUUUUGUUAAGUAAAUAUGGAAAUCCAAAUAGGGACACAACCCAAAUGAUUCCAUCAUAAAGCUUUUGCGUGGUCGAACUUUACACAACAGGCUUAUGUGUAUGCAUUAAAAUAAUCCGUUGUCACAAUUAUAUCACAAUUAUAUCAGUAUCAAGGGGGUGGAUUUUUGGUGACAGGUUUAUACAAAUCUAACUUCCGUUAAUUUGUCUUCCAAGUGUCAGAAGUCAUGGCUAAGCAGUCAUAUAGAAAUACAAAUUGUAAAUAAUAAGGAUGCAUU